GAGAAUUAUAAAAUUUAAUUUUAGGAUAUUCUAAAUCUAAAAUCAAAAAUCAAAGGUCCACUCAUCCUAGAAUUAGGAUGCUAAUUAUUUUUGUAGCAUAAUAGGUGGAAGCAUCACUUUUAAAAAUCACAUUAGGAUAUCUAAAAUAAUUCAAAAUUUUUAAAAUAUUAUUCUUUCUAAUAUCAAUAAAUUUCUUGUAUCAAACCAUAUCAUCUAUCAUAAUUCUUUAACUCAAAGGGUCAACAUUCCU
rnacentral:lncRNA from 1 species